GUUCAGAGUCCGAAUAAAUAUAGCGUACAAAUUAGAACCGCUUCACCUACAGCUUUAAUCAGUACAUAUCCCCCCGGUGGAUCGCAAGUUCCUCUUCCAAUAUUGCACCUUCUUUUGGACUUUUUCUUUGAUGUCACUGAAGGUAGUUUUCUUAGAGCGAUGGACCACCGAUGGUAACACUAGGUAAAUUCACUUUUUGCCUGCUUAUACUUUUAUAAUUCAUGAGCAAUGAGAGGAUAUUCUGGCAAUGUUCUGGCAAUGCCUUACCAAAAAGGAUUGAGUCAUCUGUAAAUAGUAAGUGGUUUAUUGUUGGACUUCUCUUAUUUAUCUAAAUUUCUUGUAUAAGCUUGUUUUGUUCUGCCUCAUGUAGCAUGAAGGAUAAUCCUUCCACACAUAUCAGAAAAGAUAAGGUGAUAAGGGGGUUUCCUUGACGGAUUUCUCUUGUUGGCUUAAAAAAACUAUAAGGUUGACCCUCCAUAAGUACAUAAUAAGAAACAGUAGAGACUAAUUUUGUUAUCCAAGAAAUCUAUUUAACAUCAAAGCCCAUCUUAUGCAACAUAAACUAUAAAAAAUGCCAUUCAACUCUAUCAUAUACUUUACUCAUAUCUAACUUCAUUGCCAUUUCAUAAUCAAUCCCUCUUUUCUUAGUUUUUAGAUAGUACAUUCAUUCAUGAGCUAUUAGUAUAUUAUCAGAGAUUAAUCUUCCUUUUAGGAAGGCACUUUGGGUAGGACUUAUAAUCACAUUCAUGAAAUUUUGUAAUCUAUGAACCAACACCUUUAAGAUAAUCUUAUAUACAACCGUAGAUAAACUAAUUGGUCUCACCUCUGUCAUAUCUCUGGCACCAGGAAUCUUUGGGAUUAAACAAAUUUAAGUGUGAUUGAAACUCUCAAAUAUCUUUCCUCCUCCAAAGAAGCUGCGUACUACUUUAUGCUCAUCUCUGCCAACUAUGUCCAAGUAUUCUUGAAAGAAUUUUGCCGUAAAACCAUCAUCACCCGGAGCACUAGUCGCAUAUACAAUAAAAGCAACCCUCUUAGUUUCUUUAGUGGAUAAUAUUUCUGUCAGUCUAAGAUUCAUGCUAGCUAUAACCAUGGGCUGAAAGUGUUUAAAGAAAGGGGAUGGAUCUUCCUUAUUGGUUGAAGUAAAUAUAUUUCUGAAGUAGUUUUCACCUACAUUUGCAAUGCCCUCAGGGGUGGAAGUAAGAACACUGUCCU